GGGAUAAUGGGCAAUGGGGGAAACCCUGACCCAGCGACGCCGCGUGAGGGAAGACGGUCUUCGGAUUGUAAACCUCUGUCUUUGGGGACGAAAAAGGACGGUACCCAAGGAGGAAGCUCCGGCUAACUACGUGCCAGCAGCCGCGGUAAUACGUAGGGAGCGAGCGUUGUCCGGAAUUACUGGGUGUAAAGGGAGCGUAGGCGGGAUUGCAAGUUGGAUGUGAAAACUGCGGGCUCAACCCGGAGAGUGCAUUCAAAACUGCGAUUCUUGAGUGAAGUAGAGGCAAGCGGAAUUCCUAGUGUAGCGGUGAAAUGCGUAGAUAUUAGGAGGAACACCAGUGGCGAAGGCGGCUUGCUGGGCUUUUACUGACGCUGAGGCUCGAAAGUGCGGGGAGCAAAC
rnacentral:rRNA from 1 species